rnacentral:rRNA from 1 species
UACGAAGGGUGCAAGCGUUGUUCGGAAUUACUGGGCGUAAAGCGCGCGUAGGCGGUUUACUAAGUCAGACGUGAAAGCCCUGAGCUUAACUCGGGAACGGCGUUUGAUACUGGUAAACUAGAGAUUCAGAGAGGUGAGUGGAAUUCCUAGUGUAGAGGUGAAAUUCGUAGAUAUUAGGAGGAACAUCAGUGGCGAAGGCGGCUCACUGGCUGAAUACUGACGCUAAGGCGCGAAAGCGUGGGGAGCAAACAGGAUUAGAUACCCUGGUAGUCCACGCCCUAAACGAUGAGUGUUAGACGCUGGAAAUUGAUUCAGUGUCGUAGCUAACGCGUUAAACACUCCGCCUGGGGAGUACGGUCGCAAGAUUA